AUUGAACGCUGGCGGCAUGCUUUACACAUGCAAGUCGAACGGCAGCGCGGGCUUCGGCCUGGCGGCGAGUGGCGAACGGGUGAGUAAUACAUCGGAACGUGCCCAGUAGUGGGGGAUAGCUCGGCGAAAGCCGGAUUAAUACCGCAUACGACCUGAGGGUGAAAGCGGGGGAUCUUCGGACCUCGCGCUAUUGGAGCGGCCGAUGGCAGAUUAGCUAGUUGGUGGGGUAAAGGCCUACCAAGGCGACGAUCUGUAGCUGGUCUGAGAGGACGACCAGCCACACUGGGACUGAGACACGGCCCAGACUCCUACGGGAGGCAGCAGUGGGGAAUUUUGGACAAUGGGCGAAAGCCUGAUCUAGCAAUGCCGCGUGUGUGAUGAAGGCCUUCGGGUUGUAAAGCACUUUUGGCGGGAACGAAAAGGACUGUGCCAAUACCACGGUUCGAUGACGGUACCCGCAGAAUAAGCACCGGCUAACUACGU
rnacentral:rRNA from 1 species